UACGGGGGGGGCAAGCGUUAUCCGGAUUCACUGGGUUUAAAGGGUGCGUAGGUGGGCAGGUAAGUCAGUGGUGAAAGCCCCGGGCUCAACCUGGGAAUGGCGAUGGAUACUGGCUCGCUAGAGUGCGGUAGAGGAGAGUGGAAUUCCCGGUGUAGCAGUGAAAUGCGUAGAGAUCGGGAGGAACAUCAGUUGCGAAGGCGGCUCUCUGGACCAGCACUGACACUGAGGCACGAAAGCGUGGGGAGCAAACAGG
rnacentral:rRNA from 1 species